rnacentral:rRNA from 1 species
AUUGAACGCUGGCGGCAGGCCUAACACAUGCAAGUCGAACGGUAACAGGAAGCAGCUUGCUGCUUCGCUGACGAGUGGCGGACGGGUGAGUAAUGUCUGGGAAACUGCCUGAUGGAGGGGGAUAACUACUGGAAACGGUAGCUAAUACCGCAUAACGUCGCAAGACCAAAGAGGGGGACCUUAGGGCCUCUUGCCAUCGGCUGUGCCCAGAUGGGAUUAGCUAGUAGGUGGGGUAACGGCUCACCUAGGCGACGAUCCCUAGCUGGUCUGAGAGGAUGACCAGCCACACUGGAACUGAGACACGGUCCAGACUCCUACGGGAGGCAGCAGUGGGGAAUAUUGCACAAUGGGCGCAAGCCUGAUGCAGCCAUGCCGCGUGUAUGAAGAAGGCCUUCGGGUUGUAAAGUACUUUCAGCGGGGAGGAAGGGAGUAAAGUUAAUACCUUUGCUCAUUGACGUUACCCGCAGAAGAAGCACCGGCUAACUCCGUG